UACGGGGGGAGCAAGCGUUGUUCGGAAUUACUGGGCGUAAAGGGCUCGUAGGCGGCCAACUAAGUCAGACGUGAAAUCCCCAGGCUCAACCUGGGAACUGCGUCUGAUACUGGAUGGCUUGAAUUCGGGAGAGGGAUGCAGAAUUCCAGGUGUAGCGGUGAAAUGCGUAGAUAUCUGGAGGAAUACCAGUGGCGAAGGCGGCAUCCUGGACCGACAUUGACGCUGAUGAGCGAAAGCUAGGGGAGCAAACGGG
rnacentral:rRNA from 1 species